rnacentral:rRNA from 1 species
GAUGAACGCUGGCGGCGUGCCUAAUACAUGCAAGUCGAGCGAACGGACGAGAAGCUUGCUUCUCUGAUGUUAGCGGCGGACGGGUGAGUAACACGUGGAUAACCUACCUAUAAGGCUGGGAUAACUUCGGGAAACCGGAGCUAAUACCGGAUAAUAUUUUGAACCGCAUGGUUCAAAAGUGAAAGACGGUCUUGCUGUCACUUAUAGAUGGAUCCGCGCUGCAUUAGCUAGUUGGUAAGGUAACGGCUUACCAAGGCAACGAUGCAUAGCCGACCUGAGAGGGUGAUCGGCCACACUGGAACUGAGACACGGUCCAGACUCCUACGGGAGGCAGCAGUAGGGAAUCUUCCGCAAUGGGCGGAAGCCUGACGGAGCAACGCCGCGUGAGUGAUGAAGGUCUUCGGAUCGUAAAACUCUGUUAUUAGGGAAGAACAUAUGUGUAAGUAACUGUGCACAUCUUGACGGUACCUAAUCAGAAAGCCACGGCUAACUACGUG